rnacentral:rRNA from 1 species
AUUGAACGCUGGCGGCAUGCCUUACACAUGCAAGUCGAACGGCAGCACGGGAGCAAUCCUGGUGGCGAGUGGCGAACGGGUGAGUAAUACAUCGGAACGUGCCCAGUUGUGGGGGAUAGCCCGGCGAAAGCCGGAUUAAUACCGCAUACGACCUAUGGGUGAAAGCGGGGGAUCGCAAGACCUCGCGCAAUUGGAGCGGCCGAUGUCAGAUUAGGUAGUUGGUGGGGUAAAAGCCUACCAAGCCGACGAUCUGUAGCUGGUCUGAGAGGACGACCAGCCACACUGGGACUGAGACACGGCCCAGACUCCUACGGGAGGCAGCAGUGGGGAAUUUUGGACAAUGGGCGCAAGCCUGAUCCAGCCAUGCCGCGUGUGGGAAGAAGGCCUCGGGUUGUAAACCACUUUUGUCAGGGAAGAAACGGCCUAGGCUAACAUCUUGGGCUAAUGACGGUACCUGAAGAAUAAGCACCGGCUAACUACGUGCCAGCAGCCGCGGUAAUNCGUAGGGUGCAAGCGUUAAUCGGAAUACUGGGCGUAAAGCGUGCGCAGCGGCUUUGNAAGACAGAUGUGAAAUCCCCCGGGGCUCAACCUGGGAACUGCAUUUGUGACUGCAAGGCUAGAGUACGGCAGAGGGGGAUGGAAUUCCGCGUGUAGCAGUGAAAUGCGUAGAUAUGCGGAGGAACACCGAUGGCGAAGGCAAUCCCCCUGGGCCUGUACUGACGCUCAUGCACGAAAGCGU